ACAAUGUGGUCAAGAGUAUUGUAUUAGAGAAAGACCGUAUUGCAUUUGUAAUCCUAAACUGAAUAGGUUCUUCACCUCUUCUGAUUAGCUUGGGUAACCAUGAUAUGUUGCUAGGUGUCACUCAUGGUUUGUGGAAGCCCUAAACGUGUGUAAUCACUAAAGGGAGAAUUGAAAGUAAGUUUCAAUUCACAAUCGAUGUAAAAUGGUUUUAAUCGCCCACUGCCUUGCUAAAAGGAACCUAAUGGAUUGUACACCGUGUAAGGUGGAGAUUGAAGAAACAAUGGAGAUGAGUAAUAAUUAAAUGGUUUAAUUAUUUAUGGCAAGGAUUGAUUAAUAUGUUAAUUAAUCAAACGAAUAAGUUCGUUAAAGACCUCGGGAUGGUUUUGGGCCUCAAGGCCCAAUGGGCUUCGAACGUCAAGUCCAUUGACUUAAGUUGUAUGACAACUUAAUUCACAAAGGCCCACAAGCCCAAACAAAACCCCAUGGCCGGCCAUUUAGAGGAAGGGUAGUGAACUUGCUUUAAUUACAAGUUUGCCACUCAAAUGAAUAAAUGUAUAAAUAUGACUUUAUAGCCAAAAUUCAUUAAGGGUUUGUUUUGGAGAAAAUUGGAGAGAACAUGUC
rnacentral:lncRNA from 1 species